rfam:Citrus clementina cultivar Clemenules unplaced genomic scaffold scaffold_8, whole genome shotgun sequence.
AUGCCAUGAUGAGGACAUCUCCUGAGUAACUCUUUGAACAUUUCCCAUGCGUUAUACAAGCUCUCAUCUUCAAGUUGAUGGAAGGAUGUGAUCUCAUUUCUUAAUUU